rnacentral:rRNA from 1 species
UACGGAAAGGCAGCAGUGGGGAAUAUUGCACAAUGGGCGCAAGCCUGAUGCAGCCAUGCCGCGUGUAUGAAAAAGGCCUUCGGGUUGUAAAGUACUUUCAGUCGUGAGGAAGGUGUUAAGGUUAAUAACCUUAGCAAUUGACGUUAGCGACAGAAGAAGCACCGGCUAACUCCGUGCCAGCAGCCGCGGUAAUACGGAGGGUGCGAGCGUUAAUCGGAAUUACUGGGCGUAAAGGGCACGCAGGCGGUUAAUUAAGUUGGAUGUGAAAUCCCCGGGCUUAACCUGGGAAUGGCAUUCAAGACUGGUUAGCUAGAGUCUUGUAGAGGGGGUAGAAUUCCAUGUGUAGCGGUGAAAUGCGUAGAGAUGUGGAGGAAUACCGGUGGCGAAGGCGGCCCCUGGACAAAGACUGACGCUCAUGUGCGAAAGCGUGGGGAGCAAACAGGGAUUAGAUACC